GAUAAUUUGCCCCUGAAUCCACCAUCCAAGCAUUAGAGAAAUCAGCAUCAGUUGUUGCCGCAUGUGCAUGAGGAGUGUUUUUCGGUGAAGGACACUGCCUAGAUACAUGACCAGUCCCAUUACAGUUGAAACAAGUAAGAGAUGCUGAGGAGGAGUGACGACCAGUGGAGGAAUUAUUGUGCCAGUAGUUGCUUCUUCCACGUCCUCUAGAGUACCUGCCUCUGCCCCUACUACCUAUCCCUGAAUUUGCAAAAUGAGCAGUAGGAGGUACAUUUGCAGCAACAUUUGUGAUUAAAGAAUCAAUCUUCAAUUGCGUUUCUUCACUCAACAAUAACGCAUAUAAUUCGUCAAAACCAAUCUUCUGAUUGCGAGCUUCAAUUGCUCGAGUAAAAGGACGAUAUUCGGGUCCCAACCCUUGAAGAACAUCACAAACUAAAUUAUCUUCAGUAAUGGAACCUUCUUCAACUGCACACAAUUGAUCAAAGUAAGACUUUGCUUUUCGCAUAUAUUCAUCAAUAGAAUCUGAGCCUCUGGUUAAAUAUUUCAAUUGUUUACGCAACUGUUGGACUUGCGUUUUAGCCCCAGUGGAAUAAAUGACAGCUAAUUUAUCCCAUGCUUCUCUAGCAGUCUUACAUCGAGUUAUUUGAUGAAGAAUAGACUCAGACACAGAGCAAUUAAUCCAACUACGAACCACUUGAUCCUGGCAAAACCAAUCUGUAAACGCCGGAUUAGGAGAUCCAUUGUGAAGCAAUUCUGGUGGCGCAGCACCAGUACCAUCAACAUAUGAAGCCAAUCGAUACCCAUGCAGUAAUGGCAUAAUCUGAGCAUGCCACAAAAGAUAGUUAUUUGAGGUUAAUUUGAUGGACAGAAAUUGAGUAACAUUGGGUGUUUGCAUAGUAGAAGAAGAUGAGGAAAUAAUCGCACCAGCAGAUUGAGAAGAAAGAUUUCCAGCAGUGUCAGAGCUGCUAGAACUAGAAAUAAGAGAACCUUCAGUCGACAUGUUUAAUUAAAGGAAAAA
rnacentral:lncRNA from 1 species